rnacentral:rRNA from 1 species
GACGAACGCUGGCGGCGUGCUUAACACAUGCAAGUCGAACGGAAAGGCCCUGCUUUUGUGGGGUGCUCGAGUGGCGAACGGGUGAGUAACACGUGAGUAACCUGCCCUUGACUUUGGGAUAACUUCAGGAAACUGGGGCUAAUACCGGAUAGGAGCUCCUGCUGCAUGGUGGGGGUUGGAAAGUUUCGGCGGUUGGGGAUGGACUCGCGGCUUAUCAGCUUGUUUGUUGGGUAGUGGCUUACCAAGGCUUUGACGGGUAGCCGGCCUGAGAGGGUGACCGGCCACAUGGGGACUGAGAGAGGGCACAGAAGGCAACGGGAGGAAGCAGGGGGGAAUAUUGCACAAUGGGAGGAAGCCGGAUGAAGCAACGCCGCGGGCGGGAUGACGGCCUUCGGGGUGUAAACCGCUUUCGCAUGAGAAGAAGCGUGAGUGACGGUAAUGGGUAAAGAAGCACCGGCUAACUACGUG